rnacentral:SRP_RNA from 1 species
GCCGGGUGCGGUGGCUCACACCUGUAAUCCCAGCACUUUGGGAGGCUGAGGUGGGUGGAUCACUUGAGGUCAGGAGUUCUAGACCAGCCUGGCCAACAUGGUGAAACCCCGUCUCUA